rnacentral:lncRNA from 1 species
AGGUGGCACGCGGGUUUAGAUGAACGUCAAGUUUUUACGAUUGAAUCUAUCUGACUGACGCACGUGCACAAAAGCAUGUGUCGUCGGUAAAAAGUAAGAAGCUCGUUUGCGCGCGAAGAGUGUUGCGUCUUUAAAUGCAUCAAUUAUCGUCAGCAAACGAACUCGAUGAUCUACCGAACGCCAUCGAGAUCAACUACGAUUAGUAUCGCAGCAAAUUUUGUUAAUAUGGUGUGUAGAAUAAAAUUUCAAAUAUCGUAGUAUGUUAAGUUACACGAUAGGAGAAAGAUGGAUUUUUCGAUAAUACCAUAAAUGUAGUUUAUUAAUAAAUCAAGUGUAAUUACGUGAAGCCAAUGUGAAGUAACCUGUGCAUAACCUUGAUAAUAUUCGCCUGAACGAUAAAAAUCAAAGUUCAAGAGACAACGAACCUUUCGGUUUUGAGGUGUAAGUGCAAUGACAUUGAGAUAAGUGGUUAGCUCCGGUGCAUCGUCGUUUAUGCAAGACGGAACCAGAGGCUUGGCUACGUGAGUACUCGACAAAGUAAAAAGGGCACGAAAAGAGGUAUCAGAAAGAUGGUACACGAGUGAAGGUGAGAGGAUCAGUGUGCGAGAAAGAAGACACGUCCCGUCAGCGAUGAGAUCGGUCGAACGAAAUACAAAAGAAUAAGUCCUUCAAUGUCUGGAGCUUGUCUUCGGCAGAUCCCUGUCCUGUUCAAGUUAUAAAUGGCAAUCUCUAUUCGAUAUAUCACACUAUAAGUCGGUCUUUUACCGCACACUAAGAAAUCGCAUAGAUCGGUAACGUCAGUAAUACGGUUGCACCAUAAGACACUGAAUGAUAUGAAGUUAGUUACGUUUGCAGUGUGCGUUGUGGAUCGAGCCUAAUUCGCCCUCCCGCCGUCACAUCAAGUGCUUCCACAUCGUUCGUCUCCUCGUCGACAAAGUAGCAAUGUUGCAUUCCAAUUUAUUCCAUACCAUUCAUCUUCCUCGGAGCUAAACUCUCCAUUUUCCAUUCAAGAUAAUAGUUAGACGAAGAUAUCAAACAUUGGCGUAGCCAGACGGUCGAACUCGUGUAAAAAUAGUUUCUGGCAAUGUUUAUCGUAUAUCGGUUGAAACUGCGAAUUGAAUGUAAAUAAAAAACAACAAGUAAACGAAGCCUCCCCGUUUUAUCCCAUGUUUACAAAAAGCAA